rnacentral:snoRNA from 12 species
UUACAAUGAUGAUCCAAAUUGCAUUUUUUCUGGCAUCUCUAAUGUUAGCGUCCUCCGGGACCCGAUGAAUAUAAUUUUUACUCUGAAA